GAUGAACGCUAGCGGCAGGCCUAAUACAUGCAAGACGAACGGUAAAUAGUGUAGCAAUACAUUAUGAGAGUGUCGUAAGGGUGCGUAACACGUAUGCAAUUUGCCUAAAACAGGAGGGUAGCUCGGGGAAACUCGAAUUAAUACUCCAUAAGAUGGAGGGGCGGCAUCACUUUGCUAUUAAAGCUUUGGAGGUUUUGGAUAAGCAUGCGUCUGACUAGUUAGUUGGCGGGGUAACGGCCCACCAAGACGAUGAUCAGUAGGGGAACUGAGAGGUGGACCCCCCACACUGGCACUGAGAUACGGGCCAGACUCCUACGGGAGGCAGCAGUAGGGAAUAUUGGACAAUGGGUGCAAGCCUGAUCCAGCCAUGCCGCGUGCAGGAAGACGGCCUUCUGGGUUGUAAACUGCUUUUGUCAGGGGAUAAAAAGCUCGUGCGCGAGAAAUUGAAGGUACCUGAUGAAUAAGCCACGGCUAACUACGUGCCAGCAGCCGCAGUAAAAC
rnacentral:rRNA from 1 species